AUGCUAUCCAACGGGUACACACUCCAAUUCCGACGCCGGCCCCCAACUGUCAGCGGGAUCAAGGUUACCGUGGUUACCAAUCCCGACAGAUCCCUGGUCCUGAGACCGGAAGUAGCCACCCUCCUUGGGAAGGGUGCUAUCGAAGUAGUAGAACCACAAGAACAGCUCGAUGGGUUCUACUCAACCUACUUUCUGGUACCGAAGUACGAUGGCGGGUUUCGCCCCAUUCUGGACUUGAGAGGGCUGAAUCAGUUCCUCAAGGUUCUUCCCUUCCACAUGCUGCAUGUUGCGGACGUCCUCCUGGCUAUCGCUCAGGGGGACUGGUUCGUAUCAAUAGACCUGAAAGACGCUUACUUUCACGUCCCUAUUACCCAACGUCACAGGCGGUUCCUCCGCUUUGCUUUUCUGGGCAAGGUGUACCAGUUCAGGGUUUUUCCGUUCGGGCUGCCUCUGGCCCCGCGUAUAUUUACACGGUGUGUAGCAGCAGCCCUGUCAACAUUACAGGCCACAGGUAUGGCGAUACUGCCAUACCUGGACGACUGGUUGGUCAUUUCCCCAACUCGGGAGCAGGCGGUCAGGGACACAGCCAUGCUCCUCAGCCAUGUGGACCGGCUUGGCCUCAUGGUCAACUUUACCAAGAGCAACCUUACACCAUGUCGGGUUGUGAGCUAUCUGGGGCUGGUGCUCGACUCGGUGGCCAUGCGAGCCUGCCUCUCUCCAAAGCGCGUAGCUACCAUUUUGCAGCUGCUACAGCGCUUCAGGCGGGGGAAGUUGCUGGAAUACCGCCUCUUCCUUCGACUUGAUAGGUAUGCUGAUCUCAGCAUCCAUGGUGGUCCCACUAGGCCUUCUGGAAUUGCGUCCCCUUCAGAUCUGGGUGAAUGGUCUCCACCUGGACCCCAAGUGGCAGAGACACAAGAUGGUCAGGGUGUCUGGGCGGUGCCUUCGGGUCCUCAGACCCUGGAGAGAGAGGGCAUACCUGAUUGCGGGGUCGCCCUUAGGGAGGAUAGCUUCCCGGCGGGAGGUUGUGGAGACGGACGCCUCCCUUUCCGGCUGGGGUGCAGUAUGGCAGUGCAGGACUGUCAGAGGCCAGUGGGAUGCCCAGCAGAGACUGGAGCAUAUAAAUGUGCUGGAACUCCUUGCGGUGUUCUUAGUUCUCAGGCACUUCCUUCCAGUUCUGAGGGACCGACAUGUUCUUGUCCGGACAGACAAAACCUCCACAGUCUACCACGUCAACCAUCAGGGGGGCACCAGAUCGAGGCAGAGCCUGCGGGUCACACAAAGGCUCCUUCCGUGGGCGUUCCCCCAUUUUCUAAGCCUGAGGGCUGUCCAUGUUCCAGGUGUCCGGAACACAGCGGCAGACCUUCUCUCUCGCCAAGGGCCACCCCCCGGAGAGUGGAGACUCCAUCCGGAGGUGGUGGGGAUGAUUUGGGACAGGUUUGGCAGGGCAGUGGCGGAUCUCUUUGCUUCCGAAGAGACCACCCACUGUCCCCUUUGGUUCUCCUUGACGGAGAGGACCAGUCCCCUAGGGCAGGACGCUCUGGCUCAUGCUUGGCCAGACAGCCUGCUUUAUGCAUUUCCCCCAAUUCCCCUUUUACUGGCAGCGCUGGACAGGGUCCAGCGUGGCUGUCACAGCCUACUUCUGGUGGCUCCACAUUGGCCAGGAAGGCCAUGGUUCACACCAUUAUUGGAACUCCUCAACGGAGAGCCUUGGUGCCUCCCAGAGAGACAGGACCUUCUGUCUCAGGUAGGCGGACGCAUAUGGCACACGAAUCCGGGCCGCCUGUGGCUGUGCGUGUGGCCCCUGAGAGACAGGACCCGCUGCUGACGUCUUGCGACCAGUCAGUGGUCUGUACCAUUUUUAGUUCAAGGGCACCCUCCACUAGGUUGCUCUAUGCAAACAGGUGGAAGUUGUUUUCCCAGUGGUGUGUGGCGCGGGGCAAAGUCCCGGGGACUUGCUCAGUGGUAGUGAUACUACACUUUCUGCAGUCUGUGUUGGACAACAGAAGAGCUGCGUCUACCCUGCGCGUUUAUAUGGCCGCGAUCUCGGCCACACACGCAAGGGUGGAUAACCAGACGGUAGGGUCCCACUACCUAAUCACGCAGUUUCUGAAGGGGGCCCAGAGGCUUCAACCGCCGCGAUCCCUGAGGGCACCAUCAUGGGACCUGCAAGUAGCUCUGAGGUCCUUAUGUCUACCCCCAUUUGAGCCACUAAGUCAGGCAGAUCUGACGCGGCUGUCCAUGAAGAUGGCAUUUCUGCUUGCCAUGGCAACUGCAAAACGGGUCGGUGAACUCCAUGCGUUGUCAGUGAGCCAGGCGUGUUUGCGCUGGCACGCAGAUGGGUCAGGAGUGGUGCUCUGGCCGAACCCAUCCUUCCUACCCAAACGAUUGUCUCCCCAUCAUGUAAAUCAAUCGAGUUGGCUGCUUUCAAUCCCCCAGGCUCUCCAGGGGGUGCAGAAAGAGUGUCAGACCUGUUGUGCCCGGUGCGGGCGCUUAGGGCAUAUGUUGAAGCGACAACCAGCUUGCGUAAGACAGAUAACCUCUUUGUCUGUUACGGGGGCUGCAGGAAGGGGGCUGCCCUGUCGAAACAGAGACUCUCCCACUGAGUUGUGGAUGUGGUCUUGA
rnacentral:lncRNA from 1 species